rnacentral:lncRNA from 1 species
GAACAAUUUGUUAGCCUGAGGACGGAUAGUAAACUAUCCGAAACGUAGCUAAAAUAAAAGUAUUAUCAAAAAACCUCUUGUGUGAUCCUUGAUUUAAAUUAAAAACACAAAAUUAUUUAAUAUGAACAGAGGUGAAAGUUUCAGAAAAGCAAUCAUUUUAAAAAACUUCGUAACAUUUUGUUCUUUAAACCAGGGUUUAUAUUAACGUGCAGUUCUACACAAAAUGUGCAGUUCUAAACCCAUUAAUUUGUGCAGUUCUUAAAACUGGAAUGUGCAGUCACCAAAUUAACAAAAAUAUAACCUCAAAAUCCAGAUGCCAGAAACGCUGUAACUGAGCAUCACAAAUCUAAAUGUUUUCUGGGAAAGGAUCACCAGAACCUUAUAUUUUCCUCCCAAAUCACAUACGUGCUGGGGUAACUGGAGGUAAAAUUGGGGCGAGCGAAGCUAUACAAAAGACAUUAGAGUGGGAGAACCUAAUAUUCUUUGCUGCCUAAGGUCAUUAUAUAUCGAGUAUUCAUGAUACCCAGUUACAUGUUUUGAAACAGUUUUUGUGGGUGGUUGGGCGAAACAAAUCUUUGCCAGAACUUACGAGCCUCUAAAUUUAAAAUUUGGGGGGCACCCCCUACCUGUAGCUUCCCCACCCGGAAUCGAGUUUGUCUGGCCCCACCCAACCACACCUUUAUUCUGCCACCUAUAUACAAAUUAAGAGUCUAUAAUAAUUUGCAACGUUAACUAUAAAUUUACAACAUUAAAUAUGCUGUAGAUAAAAAUCCUUUGACCCUCCCAGUUAAACAUACUUUGACCCCCCAGUCAAACACGUGAUGUUUCGUAACAUCCCUAAUAUGUGCAGUUCUGCACUUUUCUUAAAAUAAACCCUGCUUUAAACUGACAAUAUAACUAAAUAUAUAAUCAAUAUAUUCAAAGCUUUUGACUUCUGCCUAUGCGCACACGCAAUGACCUAUAUAGGCGCUGCUUUGCUGUCGUGCGUUCAUACGUAAAAAAGCUUGAGCCCUGGUGUAUGAUCUAAUAAACGCCCUGGGCGCCCAUUAGAGAGAGACGUUAAUUCUUACAUACGGUAAUUUUACGCUUCUCAAACAACGCUUAAUUUCCAUUUUUUUAUCAUGGGCACAGAAAUGUCAACAAAACAACCUGCGUUCUAGUAUAUCUUAUUAUACAAAAUGUUGAAUUGACCGUGGCGUCUCUUAGGGAACGAGGCGUUUAGAAUGGCCGUUUAUUAUAUCAUUUGCGGUACGAACACGCGCACGCGUGGAAAAGGGAACUGUACCAGGAAAUAGGACGUCUCCGAUCUGUCGAAUGUAGAAUAUUUUCGGGAGCCGUACAUGCAAGAAAAUUAUAUUGAAUUGUGUUUUUAAAUUGGCGAUCGGACAAUUACAGAAUACAAUUUGCAAUUAAACCAUUUUCCGUGCGUGUACCGCGUAUGAGAAUGAAAAACGCAUAACUGUAAAACAGCCUUAUGCAGUUAAAGGGAAAUGGCAAUAUAAACUUUUAUUUUCUCAUUUGAAAGAACUCAGUUUGAAACUAUAUAUUAACUUCUUUUACCGAUUCUUCAUAUCUUGUUUAGUUCUUGAAAUAUUUUCACUUGAAGUAAUGAGAUGUCCGCCAUCUUGGAUAAUUGUUUGACGUUAAUGAACGGUAGUUUUGGUGACGUCACAACAGGGAUUAACCAUAUAAAAGUAUUCGUUGCUGACCAAAUAUUGAUUGGUAGAUGUUUUAAAGGUUUUAAGUGAUCUUGAUAUUUCGAAGGGCAGACAGAGUGAGUGACGUAACGUUAUAUCAGGGGGCCCCCGGUUCAAAAUUUUCGAAGGCCCCCUAGUAGAAGUGCCAAGGCCUGGUUUCCAUUAAAUCGUAAUCAUCGCAAUAGUAGCGGAAAGCAGAUAUCGCUAUCGCAAAAAUCGCCAUAAGUCUAUCUUUGCGACUUUGUCGUAGAAGUCGUAGUGAUCGGUGUGACUCAAGUUUCCAAUAAAUCGCAGUUUUUAUUAAAAUUUUUGCGUUUUUAAAAUCGUUGCGACGCUUGCGAUGCGGUUCUUGCGAUAAUUACGAUUUAAUGGAAACCAGGCCAAAGGCACGAGUCGAACGCCGUAUAUGCACGAGUUUUCUAGGGAGUCCAGGGCAUGCUCACCCGGAAAAUUUUUGAAUCUAGACUCUCAGAAGUGCCAUUUCCUGGACUUUGGGGAGAGAUUUUACAGAAUUCUGAUGGUCAGAAGACGACAUUGUAACAUAUCAGAGGCUCUGGCCAAUGUGUUUGCUCUAUCGCCUAAGCCUGGGGGCCCCCAUUUGGCCCAUUGGGGUUGGGGGCCCCCGGGUUCUCCGGGUCUGAGGUCAUAGUAGUUACGCCAUUGGACAGAGUAUAUAGUGCAAAAUGAUUAGUGGUUGUUUAGAUAAAAAUAUUAGGAGACCCCUGUUGUGACGUGACAUGCAUAUAUCUGCAAAAACUGAAGAUGGCGAACGUUUCAUUCCUUUCGAUCAAAAUAUUUGUAGAAGUAAGCAAGAUAAGAAAGAACAGUAAAAGAGUAUUAUAUAUAGUCUUAAAAGUUCUUUCAAAUGAAAAAAUAAAAAAAUAUAUUGCCAUUUCCCUUUAAGAUAACUGAUGUUGGGUGCAGUGUUAGGCAUAACCAGUUGCAGUCGUCAUAAGUUAAUUUGUAGUCCGUAGUUCUGUAUAGUUGAUUAAUCGGUAAUUUAUAUGUAAAUAGUGUGAUCACUGUAGACUAGUCAGUGGCCAGUUAGGCCUGUAUGUUUUAAACAUUGAACAGAGUUUGAGG